UACGUAGGGCGCAAGCGUUGUCCGGAAUUUAUUGGGCGUAAAGAGCUCGUAGGCGGUUUGUCGCGUCUGCCGUGAAAGUCCGGGGCUCAACUCCGGAUCUGCGGUGGGUACGGGCAGACUAGAGUGAUGUAGGGGAGACUGGAAUUCAUGGUGUAGCAGUGAAAUGCGUAGAGAUCAUGAGGAAGACCAGUGGCGAAGGCGGGUCUCUGGACAGUUCCUGACACUGAGGCACGAAGGCCAGGGGAGCAAACGGG
rnacentral:rRNA from 1 species